UAAUACGGAGGGCGCGAGCGUUAUUCGGAAUCAUUGGGCGUAAAGCGCGUGUAGGCGGCUGGGCAAGUCGGAUGUGAAAGCCCGGGGCUCAACCCCGGAAUUGCAUUCGAAACUGCUCAGCUAGAGUCUCGGAGAGGAGGGCGGAAUUCCCGGUGUAGAGGUGAAAUUCGUAGAUAUCGGGAGGAACACCAGUGGCGAAGGCGGCCCUCUGGACGAUGACUGACGCUGAGACGCGAAAGCGUGGGGAGCAAACAGGAUUAGAUACCCUGGUAGUCCACGCCGUAAACGUUGGGUGCUAGGUGUCGCGGGUAUUGACCCCUGCGGUGCCGUCGUUAACGCAUUUAGCACCCCGCCUGGGGAGUACGGUCGCAAGACUA
rnacentral:rRNA from 1 species